rnacentral:rRNA from 1 species
UGAACGCUGGCGGAGGCCUAACAAUGCAAGUCGAACGGUAACAUUUCUAGCUUGCUAGAAGAUGACGAGUGGCGGACGGGUGAGUAAUGCUUGGGAACUUGCCUUUGCGAGGGGGAUAACAGUUGGAAACGACUGCUAAUACCGCAUAAUGUCUACGGACCAAACGGGGCUUCGGCUCCGGCGCAAAGAGAGGCCCAAGUGAGAUUAGCUAGUUGGUAAGGUAACGGCUUACCAAGGCGACGAUCUCUAGCUGUUCUGAGAGGAAGAUCAGCCACACUGGGACUGAGACACGGCCCAGACUCCUACGGGAGGCAGCAGUGGGGAAUAUUGCACAAUGGGGGAAACCCUGAUGCAGCCAUGCCGCGUGUGUGAAGAAAGCCUUCGGGUUGUAAAGCACUUUCAGUUGUGAGGAAAAGUUAGUAGUUAAUACCUGCUAGCCGUGACGUUAACAACAGAAGAAGCACCGGCUAACUCCGUGCCAGCAGCCGCGGUAAUAC